ACGAAAUUGAGUGGUACCAGUGGGACCCUGGAAUAAUGAGAGUGAGACCUCCUGUUUCUCUCUUUUACGUCAACUCUUUACGGCCAAAUAAAGGUUGCGAUUGGCUGAAAAGGAGGGCGGUGUGCGUAUUAAUAUUUUGAUACAUAUGGAACGCGUGUACAUUUUAAAACGUUCCACUGCAAGAAGCUGAAUAACCUAAAGUCUAAUUUCGUCUUAUAUAUGUUCUGUCUACGCCUGCACAUUUGGUUGUGUUGUAACUUCUAACAGCAAAAAACAAUAGAGAAGCUUGGGGAUGCACAUCAGCAAGGACCUCUCCUAGACCACCAACAUCAUAUCACUGGGGUGGGAGCUGCACUGAACACAGCUGGGAAGAUCAUUGGUGUCCCACUUCCCUACAAGACACGUUAACACCCGCCUCACCCGAAAAGCAACAUGAUGUGCGCGACGUCAGCCACCCUGCACACAAUCUCUUCUGCCUCCUGCACUCUGGGAGGAGAUACAGAAGCACCCGCGCCCGCUCCACCAGACUUGCAACCAGCUUCAUUCUCCAAGCCAUCAGGAAGCUGAACUCUCUCCCAUCCAUCCCUCUCUGCCCCCCAAAAAACUAUAGCCUCUGAAGUUGCUGCUGUUUUUAUAACGUCUCUCUGCUCUAUGACAAAUAUCUCUGCAGUUACUUUUUGCACUGUCACAACAGAUGUAGGGCAGAUGCUGCCUGUGACAUCCCUGUGUUUUAUCUCGUUCUGUUUUGUCCUGUGCACUUGUUUAGAGCUAGAGAAUUGUUCUUAUUUAGUAUGCACUUUAUUUUUAGUGAUAAGCAAUGUUAGGUGAUGUCUUAUCUGUUGUGGGAUAGCGAGAAACAUACUUUUAAUUCCUCUGUAUGUCUAGUAUAUGUGGAGAAAUUGACAAUACAUUUGACUUUGACUAUACAGUUAAUGAUAAAUGACACAUUUCUGCAGCAGAAAUAAGCUACAACUACAUGCCCCAUUUUAUAAUCAUUACAUCCUCAGUGCCUCUGAAAAUAGUUUCAUCCUCAAAAAGAAACCACAGUAGGUAAUAAAAAGGAAAGCAAUUAUUGUCAUUGUGCCAGUAUUCAUCUUAAAGUUCAGUGGGAAUUUAAAGUCUGACUUAGUCAUACUAUAGGUAAAAGAACAAAAUGAAUCCUUUUGGUUAAAAUAAAUCUUGUGUUCCUCUAUCUCUCUCUCUCCCCAAGAAACCCCCCAAUAGUAUCGUAGGCCACACAGUGGCAGUGCUGUUCCCCACACAGGUCCAUAA